rnacentral:rRNA from 1 species
UACGUAGGGUGCGAGCGUUAAUCGGAAUUACUGGGCGUAAAGCGCGCGCAGGCGGCCGAGCAAGUCGAGUGUGAAAGCCCCGAGCUUAACUUGGGAACUGCGCUCGAAACUACUUGGCUAGAGUGUGGCAGAGGGAGGUGGAAUUCCACGUGUAGCGGUGAAAUGCGUAGAGAUGUGGAGGAACACCGAUGGCGAAGGCAGCCUCCUGGGCCAACACUGACGCUCAUGCACGAAAGCGUGGGGAGCAAACAGG